AGCGAGAGGUGCCUACACCCAGGACGGCCACAGUGACGGUUUGUUUGAUACCCUGAAGAGAAGACAGGCUCUGGAGAGCACCCGUAUUCUGACAGAAGAUAGGUGGAUGACAUUGGGGUGGUCGAACUGGCCCAUGAUGGAUGCCUCACUCAGGAAGUCCCGACGCUGCUUCUCCGUGUAUCCCGACUUGAGGGUCUUGAUGGCUACAAAGAUCUCUCUCUUGCCUGGCAGCUUCAAGUGGCCACUGCAGACCUCACCAAACUCCCCUGACACAGAUACAGAGAGGCAUGGUGUCACGCUUUUGUCGGCUUGGUGUUCCAACACCCAGGCCUCCCUCCAUUCUCCUCUGCGAUGGAAGUUGUGCUAUUGGAGGCAGCUGUUCUAGGACUAAGGAGCUGGAGUCCCCACAGGCCACCAACCCAGCUCAGCUGUGUGACCCUAGGACCAUUUGAUGACUGGUCUCAGCUUCUCCUUCAGACCUCCCAGCAAUCUAGGGGUUGGAGCCUGCAGUAUAGUGCCUUCUUCUCAUGCAACAAAUAAAGUUUUAUUGGAACACAUCCACGCUCACUGA